rnacentral:rRNA from 1 species
GCUUAACGCGAAGAACCUUACCUGGCCUUCGACAUGCCACUAACGGAAGCAGAGAUGCAUUAGGUGCCCGUAAGGGAAAGUGGACACAGGUGCUGCAUGGCUGUCGUCAGCUCGUGUCGUGAGAUGUUGGGUUAAGUCCCGCAACGAGCGCAACCCUUGCCAUUAAUUGCCAUCAUUUAGUUGGGCACUUUAAUGGGACUGCCGGUGACAAACCGGAGGAAGGUGGGGAUGACGUCAAGUCCUCAUGGCCCUUAUGGCCAGGGCUUCACACGUAAUACAAUGGUCGGUACAGAGAGUUGCCAAGCCGCGAGGUGGAGCUAAGUCUCAGAAAGCCGAUCGUAGUCCGGAUUGUUCUCUGCAACUCGAGAGCAUGAAGUCGGAAUCGCUAGUAAUCGCGGAUCAGCANUGUCGCGGUGAAUACGUUCCCGGGUCUUGUACACGACCGGA